AUUGAACGCUGGCGGCAGGCCUAACACAUGCAAGUCGAGCGGAUGAAGGGAGCUUGCUCCUGGUUUCAGCGGCGGACGGGUGAGUAAUGCCUAGGAAUCUGCCUAGUAGUGGGGGAUAACGUCCGGAAACGGGCGCUAAUACCGCAUACGUCCAGAGGGAGAAAGUGGGGGAUCUUCGGACCUCACGCCAUCAGAUGAGCCUAGGUCGGAUUAGCUAGUUGGUGGGGUAAAGGCCUACCAAGGCGACGAUCCGUAACUGGUCUGAGAGGAUGAUCAGUCACACUGGAACUGAGACACGGUCCAGACUCCUACGGGAGGCAGCAGUGGGGAAUAUUGGACAAUGGGCGAAAGCCUGAUCCAGCCAUGCCGCGUGUGUGAAGAAGGUCUUCGGAUUGUAAAGCCCUUUAAGUUGGGAGGAAGGGCGGUAAGUUAAUACCUUGCUGUUUUGACGUUACCAACAGAAUAAGCACCGGCUAACUUCGUG
rnacentral:rRNA from 1 species